rnacentral:lncRNA from 1 species
CCUCCGUGGCCCCGCCGUGCCCGCCGCCCCCCAAGCCAGGGAGCCGGUGUGCCCCGCGGGCCCCUCCGGGACGCCCCCCGGCCCUGCCGGUCACGCCCGGCACCCCUGCGGCACCCACUUCGCAGCCUUCUCCCCGUUUCUCCUGAUCUGACGCCUCUGGAGCCGCAGGUGCUGAGCCCGGCUUGGCAGGUGGGCUCGUCCCAGGGCCGCCUGCCCGCAGGCCCACACCUGCUCGUAGGGGUCGGAGGCCCCGGUGUGCUGGCCUGGGCAGCCCGGGCAGAUGCUCGGGACGCGCUCACGGACCGUCCUCCGGUGAGGAGGUCGCGGGGCUCAGGGCCACAGGCCCCUGUGGACAGUCGGGCCUGCGGCCUCCCGGCCCCUGCGCCUGUGCUGUCCUCGGGCGCGGCCGGCAGCUGUGGCCGUGUUGGGGCGAGACCCAGCCGGCUGCGCCCUCAGCUCCCGCGGGGCAGGCCGUGGCGGGGGGGGCCCNGCUCAGGUGUCGGAUUGGAAGCCGCUCGCUCGUGGAAGAUAAAGUUGCCCUCCCCAGGGUAACCGGACACGUGGGGAAGCAGAGCGGCCUCUGCCCUGGGUGCUGCAUUUUGCUCGCCAGCUGCCGGCGCGCUGGGCCCUAGGCCAAGGANGAGGGGCCGUGCGACCCGCUCAGGUGUCGGAUUGGAAGCCGCUCGUGGAAGAUAAAGUUGCCCUCCACGGUAACCGGACACGUGGGGAAGCAGAGCGGCCUCUGCCGUGGGUGCUGCAUUUUGCUCGCCAGCUGCCGGCGCGCUGGGCCCUAGGCCAAGGAGCCCUGCCUGCGGCGGGGCCGGGGGCUCGGGCGGCCGGAGUGACCUUGUCGCUACUCCUUGCAGUUUGUGUUUCUUCCCCCAGAGACACUGCUCCGGCCUUGGCUUUGCGCUUCUCCCCUUGGGAGUCACGUUGAAACGUUUCUUUGAUUAGAGGAAGAAGAGAAUACUGAGGGGAUGAAGCUCGAGACUCCAAGAACUGGAGAGGGAAGCAGCCAGACAGGACCCCGGGGACGGGGAACACCAGGGCUGGGUCUGCUCCCCGGCAGCGGCAGCGCUUCCCCGGAAAGCCGCGGUCUUCCUGCCUUGCCGCCUUCUUCUGCUUCUUUCUUCUUUCUUCCUCCUCCUCCUCCUCCUCCUCCUCCUCCUCCUUCUUCUUCUUCUUCUUCUUCCUUCUUCCUUCUUCCUUCUUCCUUCUUUUUCUUCCUCUUCCUUCUUCUUCUUCCUCUUCCUUCUUCUUCCUUCUUCCUUCUUCCUUUCUUCUUUUCUUUUUUUCUUUUUUUUUUAAGCUCUGAGCCUUUCUUAGUUUGCAGGUCAUCUUGUUAAUUAAUNAUUCUUUUUCUUCUUCUUCUUCCUCUUCCUUCUUCUUCCUUCUUCCUUUUUCUUCCUUCUUCCUUCCUUCUUCUUUUUUUUUAAGCUCUGAGCCUUUCUUAGUUUGCAGGUCAUCUUGUUAAUUAAUUAAUUUUUUUCAUCUUGUUAAUUUAAAAAUAAGUACUUUGUGUUCGUGUAAAGUACAUUUAUUUCAAAUUUCAGAAGCUGUGCUACCUCGGAUGCUGUAUGCGGGGCGGGAUCAGGCCUCGGAGGGGUGGGUGUGGUUGCCCGCUGGCCGGACGCUCCAGGGAGGGCUGGGGGGCAGCCACGGGCAGGGAGUCAGGGUGACCUGGACCACGUCUCACAUCCCAGGGGCCACAUCGGUGGUAGCCUUUUUGGUGUUUUCACAGAAGUUCUAACCAGUGAUCGUGACGGGAACAUGCUCUCGGGCAAUGGAUGCCCGGUCAUCUUGGGGCUUGCAGCGGUGCUUGAAAGUACAUCCUCCAUCUCAAAAGAGAAUCCGGGCCAGGAUAAUCUUGUUAUCAUGUAGGGUUUGUUCACAGCCCCCUUUCUCUGGAGGAGGGGGGGUAAGGCCAGAGAGGACGAGGAGAGGACGAAGUGAGUGCUGGGAGGGUCCUCCGCCGUGGGGCUGGGCCCUGCACCCCUGUGUUUAGCCUUUGCUUUGACUCCAGUAGAAGUAAGAAUCCAGGGCAGCCCAGUGGCUCAGCGGUUUAGCGACGCCUUCAGCCCAGGGUGUGACCCUGGAGACUCGGGAUCGAGUUCCACGUGGGGCUCCCUGCAUGGAGCCCGCUUCUCCCUCUGCCUCUCUCUUUCCCUGUGUCUUUCGUGAAAAAAUAAAAUCUUUAAAAAAAAAAAGAAGAAGGAAGAC